UACAGAGGUCCCGAGCGUUGUUCGGAUUCACUGGCGUAAAGGGUGCGUAGGUGGCAUGGUAAGUUUGAUGUGAAAGCUCAGGGCUUAACCCUGAAAUGGCAUUGAAUACUCCUGUGCUGGAGGUUUGGAGGGGGGACUGGAAUUCUUGGUGUAGCAGUGAAAUGGCGUAGAUAUCAAGAGGAACACCCAGUGGCGAAGGCGAGU
rnacentral:rRNA from 1 species